CAAUUAGGAGUGGGACUAUGUAGAAUAGGUAAAUAAAUUUUGUGGUAAGUUAUUGGUUAGUUAUUGAUAACCUUGAGAAUUAGACUUAUGGUUAGGUAGUUUAGUUGGUAAUAAUAGAUUAAUAGUGGAAUAAAUGGUUAAAAAUUCAAAAGGACAUAACCUUUGGAAUCUGCUGGCCGAUGGUCCAUCUUUUGGUAGGAUAAAGAGAUUGAGGAAAAGAAG
rnacentral:lncRNA from 1 species